GAUGAACGCUAGCGGAAGGCAUAAUACAUGCAAGUCGAACGGAUGUAGCAAUACAUUAGUGGCGCACGGGUGCGUAACGCGUAUGCAACCUACCUUCAUCAGGGGGAUAACUACUCGAAAGGGUGGCUAACACCGCAUAAUACUACUGAAUGGCAUCAUUUGGUAUUUAAAUCUGAGGAGGAUGAAGAUGGGCAUGCGUCUGACUAGCUAGUUGGUGUGGUAACGGCGCACCAAGGCGACGAUCAGUAGGGGAACUGAGAGGUUGGUCCCCCACACUGGCACUGAGAUACGGGCCAGACUCCUACGGGAGGCAGCAGUAGGGAAUAUUGGUCAAUGGUGGGAACACUGAACCAGCCAUUCCGCGUGCAGGAAGAAGGGUCUCUGACUUGUAAACUGCUUUAGCAAGGGAAGAAAAAGCUCAUGCGUGAGAAAUUGACGGUACCUUGAGAAUAAGCACCGGCUAACUACGUGCCAGCAGCCGCCGUAAAAC
rnacentral:rRNA from 1 species